UUGAUUUUUGUUGAUAGUUGAUGAAGAAGCCCCGUUAUAUCCACUCUUGACAGAACAUUUUCCUGUACUGUUUCCUGUCCAAACUAUGAUAUCUGGCUUGGGGUUUUUGCUCAGGGGGAUUGCUAAGAUCUCAUUUGCUAUGUUUUCCUCAAAAAACUGUUGAAUUAUUGGCUGAUUCCAAGCUCGAGAAUUUUCAUUGAUCAAACCUGCCACCAUAGUAGGUUCUUGGUACGUUGCUUGUCCCCCAAUAAUCCCCUGUGAUAACCAUUUGUCCUCCCUGAUUUUGAUGGAUUUUCCAUCCCCUACUAACCAUUUUGUAUAUGCUUUUAUUGUAUCUCGUCCCAGUAUCAAACUCUGUCAGCCCCAUGAUGAUCGUUGGCCCUUCUGAGCUGUCCAAAGAUCGCCAUGUGGAAAAUAGAUACCUUUUAAGACUUUGCUCCAUAGUGCAUUUGGAGAAUUGUAUAAUCUCCAUGCUUGUUUACCAAGCAUUGCAUGAUUGAAGAUGGACACUGGCAACUUAAAGAUCGACAUUGCAUAGGUUGGUAUGGCAUGUACGACACUUUUGAUCAAAACUUCCUUUCCUGCUUUGGCACUCUCAAUUCUUGGGCCAUAUUUCUUCUUAGUGUGUAAGUAUCAGAUUCUGACAUUCCACUAUGGUACCAUCUAGGAAGAAGAUAACAUCAUCCGCAAAAAGAAGGAUUUUUCACUUUGGGAAUCAAGGAUAUAUAUGUUUGAUUAAGGAGAGGAUCCAGAAUACCUGUGUUGAAAAAAUUCUGCACUAGCUGGAGUAGGUCAGUCUUUAGAAUUUCCCACGAAUUUUGAUAGAAAAGCCCAUUGAAACCAUCAGGGCCUGGGGCUUUUAAAGCUCCUAAUUGAAAAACUGCUGCUCGAACUUCCUCCAAAGUGGGUUUGGCCACCAGAUCUGCAUUGAUGUUCUCAUCGAGAGGAGAAUGACACUGGUUUAAGACUGGCUAGUAGUUUCUCGACCCUUCUGUUUUGUAUAAAUUGCUGUAAAAUGAUUGAAUAUGAUUUCUGAGUGCUACAGGAUCACGACACCACUUGUUGUCUUCCACUUGCAGCAUUGUAAUAAUGUUUCUAUGCCUCCUCUGUACCGUUGUUGCAUGAAAGAAACGGGUAUUUUUAUCACCCCAUUGUAGCUAUUUUAUAUGGGAUCUCAAUCCCCAAUAUUGUUCUUCCUGCUUCCUCAAUGUAUCAAUCUGGUGUAUUAUACUUUGAGCUUCUUUUUUGCUUGUGUGCUGGACUGGUUGAUUGGUUAUUUCUAUUAGAGUCUGAGUUAGCUCUUUUAUCCGCCUUGGUGAAUGGGCAUACUUCUCUUUACUCCAUUUUGUUAAUUCUUUUGAAGUCUCCUUAAGUUUCUCUGAAAAAGUGGCCAGUUGAGAAGCUGUUUGGUUCUAGAUUUGAUGGAUAACUCCAUGGUACUCUUCAUGUUCGAUCCAGAAAGCCUCCAUCUUGAAGUCUCUUUUUCUUUUCUUAUGUUCGAGUGUAGCCUAAGGACGAGAGGACUGUGGUCCGAGCCAAUAGCUGGAAGAGCUUGGAUUUCUGCUUCAUGAAAGGUAAUUCGCCAUUUCAAAGUGCAUAACACCCCGUCUAAUCUUUUUUUAACAAGAUCCUCCCCUUCUCUGUUAGUUGCCCAUGUGUAUGCACAUCCAUGGCUAUCAAUAUCCAUCAAAGGCAACUCAAUAAGCAUAUCUCUAAAGGCUACAAUUCUUUUAUUAUCUGCUUCUCUUUUCCCCACCUUCUCCCACACAUAUAAUAUCUCAUUAAAAUCUCCCAUGCACAUCCACGGAAUUGAACUAUGAGGUUUCAUAGCCUUCAAAUUUUGCCAUAAUAACAGCCUCUCUCCAAAGUUUGUUGAAGCAUGAACAAAGGUUAUCUACAUGACAUAUUUGCUGACUGGAUCAGUGCAUUCCACAUCGAUAAACUGUUUUGAACUGUCUUUCACUUUCAGUGUUACUUCCUCAUGCCACAUUAAGGCCAAUCCCCCUACUAUGCCUGUCGGAUUCUCUAGGAAUAAGUGCUGAAAUUGUAGUUUUUUACUUAUACUUUCCAUCAUCGUUGCUUUGUUUUUAGUUUCCAUAAGAAAAACUAAACUGGGCCUUUCAAGAGCAAUUAAGGCUCUUAGUUCCUGGAUUGCCAGGGGUUGCCCAGCCCCUGACAAUUCCAGCUAAUAAUUUUCAUGUCGUCAUGGGUGGCUUAUUAGGGCUAGCCACCAAAGCCCAUUCUGUUCCAUCUUUGAGCAACUUCACUAGAGUCUCCAUUAGGUCUGAAUCAUCUAUAAGAAGGGGAGUUGGCUCAGGUAAACACUUUUGCUUUUUUGCUUUUUGCACCUUCAUAUUCUUUUUGCUGCUUUUCCCUAUUUUCAAAGAAUUCUGUUUAGGAGCUUCUGAGCAAAUGAUCUAUUUUCCAUAAUCUUUGGGUUCCUUCUUAUUUGGUAUAAUUUCUUCCAUGAUCUCCUGUUCCAUUGAACUUUCUGCUCUCUUUUUGCUGUAAGCUUCUAUUCGCAUAUCUAGGCCUGUCUCUCUCACUAUUAUAUCCUGUCCACUAGCUGGAGAAGGUGCAACAGGUAUUGUCUCUUCCACUAUAAGUUCUUCGAUUUUUCCAUAAAAAGCUUCUCAAUAAGGGCUGUGAUCACUUGCUUCUGCUUUCAGCCAAGGUCCAUAAGGUCCUAUUUUGUUGACUGCCCAUGGUGAUUCCGCAUAAGGGAUUUCUGCACAAUCUUGUGCAUAGUGGCCAAUUCUUCCACAGGAGUAGCAGUAAUGAGAGGACUAGACAGGUCAAUUUCCACUCUAACUCUUCCUCCUUUUUGAUGAACAUUCCCUAUGGAUUCUGAUUGGAUUUCCUAGACCUAGGCCAAGCUUUCUUCCCAAAUCAUGGUAAACUGUUUCAACCCUCCAGCCAGGGGGAAUACCUCCAAUUCUCACCCAAAAUGCUGUUAUGGAAAAAUCGUAACAAUGUUCUGGGAUUUCAAGCUUGCACUGUUUAAGGACAAGCAGAUUGCUAGAAUAAGACCAAGGGAUGGAGGGUUUUCGAUAAGCUAUUCAGAUAUACAAGGUUAAGGUAGGGGAAAGCUGGAAAGUAGUUCGCUAUAAGACAACUUCAUGUUCAAAUUCAAAGAGGGACAGGUUUUCACAGCAAACUGGACCCAAAAGAUGAUCAGAUCCAUUUCCAUAAGCUCCAUCCGCAGCGACAUCAAUCCAAAAACCAGAGGCGAAGCCAUAAACAUAGCAGCGACAAAAUCGGUGUAAAUCCUCGUCAAUACUACUAACAUCCAUGAGCCCAGACCACUUUUAGUAAUAUAAAGGCGAAAUCCAACCGUUUUCGAGCA